UGAAGCUAAUCAAAUCCUGAUAAAAACCUUAGAAAAAAUGAAGUUUACUAUUUGUGUUCUAAUUAGUGUUGUCUUAAAAGGAAGCCUUGAUCGAGUUGAUUUUGUAAUUUUACACACCGAAAAUUUAAAUGUCUACAUUCAUGAAAGUAUGUAAUUACGAGAUUUGACCAUGACCAUGAUGUAAAGUUCGACUGAAGUUUACUGUAGUCUAACUUUACAAUGUCAGACAUUUAAAAAUUGAUCUUAAGAUGAUUGUUGACAUCAUGGUUGAUCGUUAUACGCCAAAGAAUUAGUACUUGGUGUAGCCUCCAUUCAAACGGAUAACCGCCUUUUACGUCUUCUGAUUCCAGCCACCAAUCGACUAAUUUGUUGCUGAGGUAACCGCAACCAUUCCUAAUGAAGGGCAUUGUUUAUUUCAUGACGUGUUUGAACUGGGGGUGUCCUUUCGCGCACAAUAGUGUCCCAUAUAUGCUCGAUAUGUUCGAAAUCCGGGCUACGAUCGGGUCAAGGAAGAUACACCGAAUUCCAUUGGAAUAAUGAAUCUUCCUCCACGAUGCUAAUUUCCAACUUUGGCGAGCUCUGCACUACAUUGGAUACGGGCCACUUUAUGUCAGUUCGUAAGCAAAGGUCCCUGAAAUGAUGUUAUAGCGCGAUAACCAGUAGCGAUGAGUCGAUCACAAACAGUUCUUGUUUUAAGUCUUCUGUAUGACAACCACCUUCUUUUUAGGAUAGUAUUGUUUGCAAUGGGUUUCCUGCUGACCAUCCUUCAUUAUGCGUGAUUUUCCCUAGCAGAUGGUAUAGGGGUCUUCUUGAUCUCGGAAGGUCUUUAACAUCGUUUGGUGCUGACCAACAAUACGUGCAAUUGUCACAGCGACAUACCUGCUUCUCUCAUGCUGAUAAUCUGCCAUCUUGCUGCAGUUAAGAGUUGUGGAGGACCCAUUACAAGGUGUCAAUCACAUAACUUUAUAAACUUUGUUAUAUAAAGUGUUGAAAACUAUGAGGAUAAAAACAUCUGUUUUAUUGUUUUAUUAUUUACGGGUACAGUAGCUGCAUGUUCAGAAAAGAACUUUUCGAGUCGAUAUUUAUUGAUUAAAAUCAGG
rnacentral:lncRNA from 1 species